rnacentral:rRNA from 1 species
UAUACAGCGAAACUGCGAAUGGCUCAUUAUAUAAGUUAUCGUUUAUUUGAUAGUGCCUUACUACUUGGAUAACCGUGGUAAUUCUAGAGCUAAUACAUGCUAAAAACCCCGACUUCGGAAGGGGUGUAUUUAUUAGAUACAAAACCAAUGCCCUUCGGGGCUCUUUGGUGAUUCAUGAUAACUAUACGAAUCGCACGGCCUUGCGCCGGCGAUGGUUCAUUCAAAUUUCUUCCCUAUCAACUUUCGAUGUUUGGGUAUUGGCCAAACAUGGUUGCAACGGGUAACGGAGGGUUAGGGCUCGACCCCGGAGAAGGAGCCUGAGAAACGGCUACUACAUCCAAGGAAGGCAGCAGGCGCGCAAAUUACCCAAUCCCGACUCGGGGAGGUAGUGACAAUAAAUACUGAUACAGGGCCCUUUCGGGCCUUGUAAUUGGAAUGAGUACAAUUUAAAUCCCUUAACGAGGAACAAUUGGAGGGCAAGCCUGGUGCCAGCAGCCGCGGUAAUUCCAGCUCCAAUAGCGUAUAU